rnacentral:rRNA from 1 species
UACAGAGGUGGCAAGCGUUGCUCGGUAUCACUGGGCUUAAAGGGCGCGUAGGCGGUGCGGUGCGGUUUCGGUGAAAUCCCUCGGCCCAACCGAGGAACAGCCGGGGCUACGGCCGCGCUAGACGGCAUCAGGGGACAGUGGAACUCCCGGUGGAGCGGUGAAAUGCGUAGAUAUCUGGAGGAACACCGGUGGCGAAAGCGGCUCACUGGACCGUCUCUGACGCUGAGGUGCGAAAGCCAGGGUAGCGAACGGG